rnacentral:rRNA from 13 species
AAACCGAUGCAAACUCCGAAUACAUAUGAGUACUAUCCGGGAGACAGACUGCGGGUGCUAACGUCCGUAGUCAAGAGGAAAACAAUCCAGACCGCCAGCUAAGGCCCCAAAAUCAUAGUUAAGUGGGAAACGAUGUGGGAAGGCAUAGACAGCUAGGAGGUUGGCUUAGAAGCAGCCACCCUUUAAAGAAAGCGUAAUAGCUCACUAGUCGAGUCGGCCUGCGCGGAAGAUGUAACGGGGCUAAAACUAUAUGCCGAAGCUGCGGAUUUGCAAUUUAUUGCAAGUGGUA